UACGGGGGGAGCAAGCGUUGUCCGGAUUUACUGGGCGUAAAGGGCGCGUAGGCGGUCUGACAAGUCACUUGUGAAAUCUCCGGGCUUAACCUGGGAACUGCAUUUGUGACUGCAUGGCUGGAGUGCGGCAGAGGGGGAUGGAAUUCCGCGUGUAGCAGUGAAAUGCGUAGAUAUGCGGAGGAACACCGAUGGCGAAGGCAAUCCCCUGGGCCUGCACUGACGCUCAUGCACGAAAGCGGUGGGAGCAAACAGG
rnacentral:rRNA from 1 species